AUACCCCCAGUAGUUCCUGGCAGUAAAACGGUGCUCGCUUGGUGUGAGAGGAUUCGACCCCUUUCGUGCCGGAGCUAACGCGUUAAGCGAGCCGCCUGGGGAGUACGGUCGCAAGACUAAAACUCAAAGAAAUUGACGGGGACCCGCACAAGCGGUGGAGUAUGUGGCUUAAUUCGAUGCAACGCGAAGAACCUUACCUGGGCUUGACAUGCCGUCAUAUGUCCGUGAAAGCGGACUGUCAAUUCGGUUGGACGUGCACAGGUGCUGCAUGGCCGUCGUCAGCUCGUGUCGUGAGAUGUUGGGUUAAGUCCCGCAACGAGCGCAACCCCUGUGAUUAGUUGCCAGCACGUAAAGGUGGGGACUCUAGUCAGACUGCCCAGAUCAACUGGGAGGAAGGUGGGGACGACGUCAGGUCAGUAUGGCCCUUAUGCCCAGGGCCGCACACGUACUACAAUGCUCAGUACAAUGAGAACCGAUACCGCGAGGUGGAGGAAAUCUACAAAACUGGGCUCAGUUCGGAUUGUAGGCUGCAACUCGCCUACAUGAAGCUGGAAUCGCUAGUAACGGCGCAUCAGCUACGGCGCCGUGAAUACGUUCCCGGGUCUUGUACACACCGCCCGUCACAUCAUGGAAGCCGACCGCACCCGAAGUAUCGCAACCCGGUCCUAAGGUGUAGUUGGUAACUGGGAUGAAGUCGUAACAAGGUAGCCGUA
rnacentral:rRNA from 1 species